rnacentral:rRNA from 1 species
CAGUCGCCGCGGUAAUACGAAGGGCGCAAGCGUUACUCGGAAUUACUGGGCGUAAAGCGUGCGUAGGUGGUGGUUUAAGUCCGUUGUGAAAGCCCAGGGCUCAACCUGGGAAUUGCAGUGGAUACUGGGUCACUAGAGUGUGGUAGAGGAUAGUGGAAUUUCCGGUGUAGCAGUGAAAUGCGUAGAGAUCGGAAGGAACAUCUGUGGCGGAGGCGACUAUCUGGGCCAACACUGACACUAAGGCACGAAAGCGUGGGGAGCAAACAGGAUUAGAUACCCCCGUAGUCCCUGUCUCUUAUAA